CUCCAGCUCCUUCUCGGCCUCCUGCACGUUCGGAUCCAACUGCAGCACUUCCUGUAAAUCAGUGCUGGCUGACAGAUAGUCCUGAGGGAGAACACACAGACUCUGAAUUCAGCACUAUCAGGAUAUAAGUGACCAAAUGGGCUCGUGUCAGUGUGCUUGGCAGCUCUGCAGUGGUUGGUCUCACACCCAUAAAAAUAAAGGUGCUUCACGAUGCCAUAGAAGAACCUUUGUGUCUAAAUGGUUCCAUAAAGAACCUUUAACAUCUGAAGAACCUUUCUGUGUCUCAAAGGGUUCUUUGUGGAAAAAAAGGGGUUCUUCAGAUUAUAAAAAGGUAAGAAAGGGAUGGUUUUUUAAAGAACCUUUAACUCAGUGGUUCUUUGUGGAACCAAAAAUGGUUAUGGCCUUUAUUUUCAAGAGUUCAGUAGCAGUGCAGGCAGCGAGUGCAGUGGCAAUAACAUAACAUACACCCAUAACUGUGACUUCAUCUGCCUCAAAGGACAGCAGAGCAAAGGUUGUCCCAUUGUUAAUGUUAUCGGGUGUUGAUGUGUGCCUUGUGAUCAUGUGGCUCUUCCUUUCUCAGGUCAGAAUGAAACCGGAGCCGUCUGGUUCCAUUACGACGAGAGCUGACUAUGUUACGCUUUUACAUUAUUGAUUGCCAUCAAGCGUGGUACAUCCACGCUGACAAAUGCUGUUAGACGCAGCAUGUGACGGAACCUGUUUGCAUAAUUCGUGCAAACGUGUGAACAACAUCAAAUUCAGACCUCACACACAACGUCGAACCUAAUAAGGCUUCCCGGCGGGCAUUUGUUAUGAGCUGUUCAACAGCAUUUUUUCUGCAUGUAUUAUUCAUCAGCAUUGGCCUGCAUUUGCAGGUCUUUGGUGUUCCAGCAUGGAUUUCUGUAUUGGAAAUGCAUAAUGUUUUAAUGCAUGCAGCACUCUUUCAUAACCUCAGCAUGAGUGUCCUGGUCCUGGUCUGUAUAGCCAUGCUUCACUAAUAAAGACCAACCUGCAGGUCUGAUGCAGCUCAGAAAUGGCAUGAAUGCAUUUACAUAGCAGUUCUAGCUGUAUACUUUAAUAUAAAGGGAUGGGUCUGAGCAAGCAUUUCAUCACUCUCAGCAAAUAUAUGACGCUCUCUAAAGACACGCAGCGAGAUCCUUGAGUAAUCCCCUAAAACCGGUUCAAACAUAAUGAAAGAUGAGCCAGAUUACAGACAGCUCAUGAGCCAGCUUUUAAUACUUUCAAAUAGAUAAUAUAAAAGUGCAUAUAUUAUUCCUGAACCGACCAAAGUAUUUAAAGGAAGAAGGUUACAAUAAAAACACACAUUUUAACAUCAGACACUAAAUUCACUAUUGUUUUACAGAGUAGUGUGUUGACACUUUUACAAUAAGGCACCAUUUGCUAAUAUUAGGUAAUGUAAUAACUAACCUGAAUGAACAAUACAUUUAUAACGCUUUUUAUUAAUCUUUUAUUAAUCUAAAAGGUCAUCUGGGGUGUGUGAUUUCAGUUGUUCCUACACUGUUUGUACAUUUAGAAUAAGUACAAAAGAUAUUAAUGAAUCAUGAAUUGAAAACAUUCAAACGCAGAUUUCAUGCUCAAACUAAUGAAUGAGGCCCACUUUUAAUAACCUUAAGAUAAGAUAUAUCUUCAAAGACAGACCUAGGUUAACCCUUUCAGGUGUGAAAGGCACAUAUAUUAACUUACAUCUUAGCUUUUGGGAAACUAUUUUAAACUGUGGCAUCCGUGUACACUAAUGAAUUAUGUUUAAUUCUGUGUUCUGGUGUGGUUGGUCCUGGUGUUCACUCACCCUUCUCCUGCUGGGCUCUGUCUGCGCGGGCCUGAAGGACGUCUGCGCUGGGCUCAUCUUUACGGUGCUGCUGGGCCGAAAGCGGAACCAUUGGGAUCUCUGGAAGCUUCUCUCUCCAGUCAGGACCGUCCUGCUCGAUCAGCAUUUUAGUGAUUCUGAGAUCACAAACACAAUCAGAACAAAUUACAUAACUGACAUUUUUUACAUUUCACUGCAAAAAGUAACUUCCUUACAGGACAUUGCACCCAAAAAAUGCAUUUCUGUCAUCAUUGCUCACUCUCAAGUUGUUCCAAACCGGAGACCUGCACUAUUAAAAAUGAAAGGCACUUCACAGCGAUGCCGUAGAAAUUCAGAUUCUUCAGAUGUUUAAGGUUCUUUAUGGAACCAUUUAGACAAAAAUGUAAUUCUAUGGCAUCGUGAAGCACCUUUAUUUUUUAGAGCGUCAAGUUUCUUUCUUCUGCUGAACACAAAAUAAGAUAUUUUGAAGAAUGUGAAAAGACGAACUGUUGAUGGUCCCUAUUGACUACCAAAGUACUUUUUCCCAUACAAUGGAAGUCAGUGGGGACCGAAACCGAAACAUUCUUCUAAAUAUCUUCUCUUGUGUUUUGGCAGAAGAAAUAAACCCGUACAGGUUUAGAAGAACACGAGAGUGAGUUAAUUAGAAUUUUUUGAGCUAACUUUUCCUUUAAAGGGUAAAUUCACCCAAAUUUGACCAAGUGAUCCAAGUUUUGUUAAUAAUAACUCAUAUUUUUCCAAACCCCAGAACGUAAUGAGCGUUGUUUAGGUUUAGCAUGUGUGCACUGUUUACUGAACGUGAACAACACUGAUUACAUUGAUUAUGUUCUUGGGUAGCUACUCUAAAAAAUGGCAGAAGAUGGUAAAUUGGGGAGAAAAAUUGUUGAAUAAAUUAUGUUUUUUCUUUUCGCAGAAAAAGUAGCUUAGUAAAAUGAAGGUUGAACCCCUGAUGUCACAUGGAUUAUUUUACCCGUCUCCUUGUUUCGUGUUGAUCGUGGUAAUAUCAUUGCUGUCUAUGGGAGGGUCGGAGAGCUCUCGGAUUACAUAAAAAAAAUCUUAAUUUGUGUCCUGAGGAUGAAUGGAGGUCUUAUGGGUUUGAAACAACAUGAGUGUGAGGAAUUAAUGACAGAAUGACUGCUCUUGUUUUCCAGUUUAAAAAAAUUUAUAAACGUCCUUGAAAUUAGACGAAUUAAAUUUUUCUCUGAUAA